ACUCUCGGCAACGGAUAUCUCGGCUCUCGCAUCGAUGA
rnacentral:rRNA from 1 species